GAAUAUUGGGCAAUGGAGGCAACUCUGACCCAGCCAUGCCGCGUGCAGGAUGAAUGCCCUCUGGGUUGUAAACUGCUUGUAUAUGGGAAGAAACCUUCGGAUUCAUCUGGAGCUGACGGUACCAUAGGAAUAAGCACCGGCUAACUCCGUGCCAGCAGCCGCGGUAAUACGGAGGGUGCAAGCGUUAUCCGGAUUUACUGGGUUUAAAGGGUGCGCAGGCGGACUGUUAAGUCAGUGGUGAAAGCCCCGGGCUCAACCUGGGAAUUGCCAUUGAUACUGGCGGUCUUGAGUAUAGUUGAGGUAGGCGGAAUGCAACAUGUAGCGGUGAAAUGCUUAGAUAUGUUGCAGAACACCGAUUGCGAAGGCAGCUUGCUAAACUAUUACUGACGCCCAGGCACGAAAGCGUGGGGAUCAAACAGG
rnacentral:rRNA from 1 species